GGGCUCGACUCGCGAUGCUCUAGAUUACGCGAAGAACCCUUACCUAGGCUUGAAAUGCAGUAGACCGGGUAUGAAAGUACCCUUCCCUUCGGGGCUGCUGUACAGGUGCUGCAUGGCUGUCGUCAGCUCGUGCCGUGAGGUGUUGGGUUAAGUCUCGCAACGAGCGCAACCCUUACUAUUAGUUGCCAUCAGGUUAUGCUGGGCACUCUAAUGGGACUGCCUACGCAAGUAGUGAGGAAGGUGGGGAUGACGUCAAGUCAGCAUGGCCCUUACGCCUAGGGCUACACACGUGCUACAAUGGGUGCUACAACGGGUAGCUAAACCGCGAGGUGGAGCCAAUCCCUUAAAGGCACCCCCAGUUCGGAUUGGAGUCUGCAACCCGACUCCAUGAAGUUGGAAUUGCUAGUAAUCGCGUAUCAGCGCGACGCGGUGAAUACGUUCCC
rnacentral:rRNA from 1 species